AUAUUUAUAGUAUAUAAGUACAUUUAACUUCCAAUUAAAAAGAUCUAACUAGAUAAAUAUA
rnacentral:tRNA from 1 species